rnacentral:rRNA from 1 species
UUCGCAAUGCCCGAAAGGGUGACGAAGCGACGCCGCGUGGGUGAAGAAGGCCUUCGGGUUGUAAAACCCUGUCAGGAGUUAUGAAAUGUAAGUGCGCUAAUAUCGUGCUUAUUUGACAAAGGCUCCAAAGGAAGCCACGGCUAACUCUGUGCCAGCAGCCGCGGUAAUACAGAGGUGGCGAGCGUUGUUCGGAAUUAUUGGGCGUAAAGAGCACGUAGGUGGGUUUGCAAGUCAGAUGUGAAAGCCUUCUGUUCAACGGAAGAAUUGCAUCUGAAACUGCUAAUCUUGAGUAUAGGAGGGGAGAAUGGAACUUCUGGUGGAGCGGUGAAAUGCGUAGAUAUCAGAAGGAACGCCGGCGGCGAAAGCGAUUCUCUGGCCUAUUACCGACACUCAGUGUGCGAAAGCUAGGGGAGCAAACGGGAUUAGAUACCCCGGUAGUCCUAGCCGUAAACGAUGGGCACUAAGUAGAGGGG